UCUCCAUAAGAAGCUAACCUCCACUGCUGACCCCUCCUCCCCACACAACCACCCGACACCGAGAGGCAGAAAGAACAUGAAGAGCGAUACCCUAGCUGCAGCGUGGGAGUGUUUGCUGGGCUGCAUCAGGCUCCGCCAGACAGCCCUGGAAAUCCCCUUCACGCUGCCUCCCUUAAAACUACACCGACCAAAGAGAACAAGAGGCUGAGGAAGUGCAUACCCCGUCCCUGACCUGCAGCGUCCCGGACAUCUGACCGGAGGAAGAGUCUCCAUGUGGAGCAGAGAGAGGUGGUGUUUUCUCACAGAGAUCAGGACAUGAGAAAUCCCCACUUCACU